rnacentral:rRNA from 1 species
UGGGGAAUAUUGGACAAUGGGCGAAAGCCUGAUCCAGCCAUGCCGCGUGUGUGAAGAAGGUCUUCGGAUUGUAAAGCACUUUAAGUUGGGAGGAAGGGCAUUAACCUAAUACGUUAGUGUUUUGACGUUACCGACAGAAUAAGCACCGGCUAACUCUGUGCCAGCAGCCGCGGUAAUACAGAGGGGGCAAGCGUUAAUCUGAAUUACUGGGCGUAAAGCGCGCGUAGGUGGUUUGUUAAGUUGGAUGUGAAAUCCCCGGGCUCAACCUGGGAACUGCAUUCAAAACUGACUGACUAGAGUAUGGUAGAGGGUGGUGGAAUUUCCUGUGUAGCGGUGAAAUGCGUAGAUAUAGGAAGGAACACCAGUGGCGAAGGCGACCACCUGGACUAAUACUGACACUGAGGUGCGAAAGCGUGGGGAGCAAACA